rnacentral:rRNA from 1 species
GAUGAACGCUAGCGGCAGGCCUAAUACAUGCAAGUCGAACGGUGUCUUCGGACAUAGUGGCGCACGGGUGCGUAACACGUAUGCAACCUACCUUACAUUGGGGGAUAGCCUUUCGAAAGGGAGAUUAAUACCGCAUAAGACAGUAGCUGGGCAUCCAGCAGCUGUUAAAGAUUUAUCGAUGUAAGCUGGGCAUGCGUCCAAUUAGCUAGUUGGUGAGGUAACGGCUCACCAAGGCAAUGAUUGGUAGGGGAACUGAGAGGUCAAUCCCCCACACGGGAACUGAGAUACGGGCCAGACUCCUACGGGAGGCAGCAGUAGGGAAUAUUGGGCAAUGGACGCAAGUCUGACCCAGCCAUGCCGCGUGCAGGAUGAAGGCGUUAUGCGUUGUAAACUGCUUUUAUACAGGAAGAAACGACUCUUGCGAGAGGCAUUGACGGUACUGUAUGAAUAAGCACCGGCUAACUCCGUGCCAGCAGCCGCCGCGGUAA